ensembl:rRNA 5S_rRNA 5S ribosomal RNA
GCCUAUGAUCUUACCACCCCAAGAACACCCAAUCUUGCAAUCUUGUCUGAUCUCAGAAACUAAUCAUGCUUGGGCCUGGUUAGUACUUGGAUGGAAAACUGCCUGGGAACACCAGGUGCUUUAGGCU